rnacentral:rRNA from 1 species
GGGUUUAUUCAUGGCUCAGAUUGAACGCUGGCGGAUGUUUUACACAUGCAAGUCGAACGGCAGCACGGACUUCGGUCUGGUGGCGAGUGGCGAACGGGUGAGUAAUGUAUCGGAACGUGCCUAGUAGCGGGGAUAACUACGCGAAAGCGUAGCUAAUACCGCAGCGCCGCUCGGGGGAAAGCGGGGACCCUUCGGGCCUCGCACUAUUAGAGUGCCGAUAUCGGAUUAGCUAGUUGGUGGGGUAGCGGCUCACCAAGGCGACGAUCCGUAGCUGGUUUGAGAGGACGACCAGCCACACUGGGACUGAGACACGGCCCAGACUCCUACGGGAGGCAGCAGUGAAAUUUUGGGCAAUGGGGGAACCCUGAUCCAGCCAUCCCGCGUGUGCGAUGAAGGCCUUCGUUGUAAAGCACUUUUGGCAGGAAAGCGAAACGGCACGUGGAUAUCACCCCGCAACUGACGGUACCUGCAGAAUAAGCACCGGCUAACUACGUGCCAGCAGCCGCGGUACGUAGGGUGCAAGCGUUAAUCGGAAUUACUGGGCGUGCGCUGCGCGCAGGCGGUUCGGAAAGAAAGAUGUGAAAUCCUAGAGCUUAACUUUGAACUGCAUUUUCAACUACCGAGCUAGAGUGGGUCAGAGGGAGGUGGAAUUCGCGUGUAGCAGUGAAAUGCGUAGAUAUGCGGAGGAACACCGAUGGCGAAGGCAGCCUCCUGGGAUAACACUGACGCUCAUGCACGAAAGCGUGGGAGCAAACAGGAUUAGAUACCCUGGUAGUCCACGCCCUAAACGAUGUCAACUAGUUGUUGGGGCCUUCGGGCCUUGGUAGCAGCUAACGCGUGAAGUUGACCGCCUGGGGAGUACGGUCGAAAGAUUAAAACUCAAAGGAAUUGACGGGACCCUGCACAAGCGGUGGAUGAUGUGGAUUUAUUAAUCUGAUGCAAACGCGAAAACCUUACCUACCCUUGACAUGUCUGGAAUCCCGAAGAGAUUUGGGAGUGCUCGCAAGAGAACCGGAACAAGCUGCAUGGCUGCUUCGCCGGCUCGUGUCGUGAGAUGUUGGGUUAAGUCCUGCAACGAGCGCAACCCCUGGUCAUUAGUUGCCACGUGCUGUAAGCACUCUAAUGAGACUGCCGGUGACAAACCGAGGAAGGUGGGGAUGACGUCGGGUCCUCAUGGCCCUUAUGGGUAGGGCUUCACACGUCAUACAAUGGUGCCGGGACAGAGGGUUUCGCCCGCGAGGGGGAGCCAAUCCCAGAAACCCGGAUCAGUCCGAUCGCAGUCUGCAACUCGACUGCGUGAAGUCGGAAUCGCUGGCAACGGAUCAGGCAUGUCGCGCGAAUACGUUCCCGGGUCUUGUACACACCGCCCACACCAUGGAGUGGGUUUACCGGUAGCGUAGCAGCCCAACCGGGCGGAGGGCGAUUACCACGGUAGGAUUCAUGACUGGGGUGAAGUCGUAACAAGGUAA